rnacentral:tRNA from 1 species
GAGGGUGUAUCUCAAUAGCAGAGUGCAUGCUUAGCAUGCACGAGGUCCUGGGUUCACUCCCCAGCACCUCUG